CGUCACACUAUCAUUAACUGAAUCCAUAGGUUAAUGAGGCGAACCGGGGGAACUGAAACAUCUAAGUACCCCGAGGAAAAGAAAUCAACCGAGAUUCCCCCAGUAGCGGCGAGCGAACGGGGAGGAGCCCAGAGCCUGAAUCAGCAUGUGUGUUAGUGGAAGCGUCUGGAAAGGCGCGCGAUACAGGGUGACAGCCCCGUACACAAAAGCGCAUGUGCUGUGAGCUCGAUGAGUAGGGCGGGACACGUGGUAUCCUGUCUGAAUAUGGGGGGACCAUCCUCCAAGGCUAAAUACUCCUGACUGACCGAUAGUGAACCAGUACCGUGAGGGAAAGGCGAAAAGAACCCCGGCGAGGGGAGUGAAAAAGAACCUGAAACCGUGUACGUACAAGCAGUGGGAGCACAGGUUUACCUGUGUGACUGCGUACCUUUUGUAUAAUGGGUCAGCGACUUAUAUUCUGUAGCAAGGUUAACCGUAUAGGGGAGCCGUAGGGAAACCGAGUCUUAACCGGGCGUUAAGUUGCAGGGUAUAGACCCGAAACCCGGUGAUCUAGCCAUGGGCAGGUUGAAGGUUGGGUAACACUAACUGGAGGACCGAACCGACUAAUGUUGAAAAAUUAGCGGAUGACCUGUGGCUGGGGGUGAAAGGCCAAUCAAACCGGGAGAUAGCUGGUUCUCCCCGAAAGCUAUUUAGGUAGCGCCUCGUGAAUUCAUCUCCGGGGGUAGAGCACUGUUUCGGCUAGGGGGCCAUCCCGGCUUACCAACCCGAUGCAAACUGCGAAUACCGGAGAAUGUUAUCACGGGAGACACACGGCGGGUGCUAACGUCCGUCGUGAAGAGGGAAACAACCCAGACCGCCAGCUAAGGUCCCAAAGUCAUGGUUAAGUGGGAAACGAUGUGGGAAGGCCCAGACAGCCAGGAUGUUGGCUUAGAAGCAGCCAUCAUUUAAAGAAAGCGUAAUAGCUCACUGGUCGAGUCGGCCUGCGCGGAAGAUGUAACGGGGCUAAACCAUGCACCGAAGCUGCGGCAGCGACGCUGAUGCGUUGUUGGGUAGGGGAGCGUUCUGUAAGCCUGUGAAGGUGGCCUGUGAGGGUUGCUGGAGGUAUCAGAAGUGCGAAUGCUGACAUAAGUAACGAUAAAGCGGGUGAAAAGCCCGCUCGCCGGAAGACCAAGGGUUCCUGUCCAACGUUAAUCGGGGCAGGGUGAGUCGACCCCUAAGGCGAGGCCGAAAGGCGUAGUCGAUGGGAAACGGGUUAAUAUUCCCGUACUUGGUGUUACUGCGAAGGGGGGACGGAGAAGGCUAUGUUGGCCGGGCGACGGUUGUCCCGGUUUAAGCGUGUAGGUGUGUGUUCCAGGUAAAUCCGGUUCACUUUAACACUGAGGCGUGAUGACGAGGCACUACGGUGCUGAAGCAACAAAUGCCCUGCUUCCAGGAAAAGCCUCUAAGCAUCAGGUAACAUCAAAUCGUACCCCAAACCGACACAGGUGGUCAGGUAGAGAAUACCAAGGCGCUUGAGAGAACUCGGGUGAAGGAACUAGGCAAAAUGGUGCCGUAACUUCGGGAGAAGGCACGCUGACACGUAGGUGAAGUGAUUUACUCAUGGAGCUGAAGUCAGUCGAAGAUACCAGCUGGCUGCAACUGUUUAUUAAAAACACAGCACUGUGCAAACACGAAAGUGGACGUAUACGGUGUGACGCCUGCCCGGUGCCGGAAGGUUAAUUGAUGGGGUCAGCGCAAGCGAAGCUCCUGAUCGAAGCCCCGGUAAACGGCGGCCGUAACUAUAACGGUCCUAAGGUAGCGAAAUUCCUUGUCGGGUAAGUUCCGACCUGCACGAAUGGCGUAAUGAUGGCCAGGCUGUCUCCACCCGAGACUCAGUGAAAUUGAACUCGCUGUGAAGAUGCAGUGUACCCGCGGCAAGACGGAAAGACCCCGUGAACCUUUACUAUAGCUUGACACUGAACAUUGAGCCUUGAUGUGUAGGAUAGGUGGGAGGCUUUGAAGCGUGGACGCCAGUCUGCAUGGAGCCGGCCUUGAAAUACCACCCUUUAAUGUUUGAUGUUCUAACGUGGACCCGUGAUCCGGGUUGCGGACAGUGUCUGGUGGGUAGUUUGACUGGGGCGGUCUCCUCCUAAAGAGUAACGGAGGAGCACGAAGGUUGGCUAAUCCUGGUCGGACAUCAGGAGGUUAGUGCAAUGGCAUAAGCCAGCUUGACUGCGAGCGUGACGGCGCGAGCAGGUGCGAAAGCAGGUCAUAGUGAUCCGGUGGUUCUGAAUGGAAGGGCCAUCGCUCAACGGAUAAAAGGUACUCCGGGGAUAACAGGCUGAUACCGCCCAAGAGUUCAUAUCGACGGCGGUGUUUGGCACCUCGAUGUCGGCUCAUCACAUCCUGGGGCUGAAGUAGGUCCCAAGGGUAUGGCUGUUCGCCAUUUAAAGUGGUACGCGAGCUGGGUUUAGAACGUCGUGAGACAGUUCGGUCCCUAUCUGCCGUGGGCGCUGGAGAACUGAGGGGGGCUGCUCCUAGUACGAGAGGACCGGAGUGGACGCAUCACUGGUGUUCGGGUUGUCAUGCCAAUGGCACUGCCCGGUAGCUAAAUGCGGAAGAGAUAAGUGCUGAAAGCAUCUAAGCACGAAACUUGCCCCGAGAUGAGUUCUCCCUGAGACUUAGAGUCUCCUGAAGGAACGUUGAAGACGACGACGUUGAUAGGCCGGGUGUGUAAGCGCAGCGAUGCGUUGAGCUAACCGGUACUAAUGAACCGUGAGGCUUAACCUUACAACGCCGAAG
rnacentral:rRNA from 1 species